rnacentral:rRNA from 1 species
UGGGUAACCUGCCUCAAAGAGGGAAUAGCCUCCCGAAAGGGAGAUUAAUACCGCAUAAUAUAUUUAGGUCGCAUGACUUUAACAUCAAAGGAUUUUCUUUUAGAAAUUCCACUUUGAGAUGGACCCGCGGCACAUUAGCUAGUUGGUGAGGUAACGGCUCACCAAGGCAACGAUGCGUAGCCGACCUGAGAGGGUGAUCCGGCCACAUUGGAACUGAGACACGGUCCAGACUCCGUAGGG